CAGUAGCCGCGGGAAAACGGAGGGUGCAAGCGUUAUCCGGAUUUAUUGGGUUUAAAGGGUCCGUAUGCGGAUCUGUAAGUCAGUGGUGAAAUCUUACAGCUUAACUGUGAAACUGCCAUUGAUACUGCAGGUCUUGAGUAAAUUUGAAGUGGCUGGAAUAAGUAGUGUAGCGGUGAAAUGCAUAGAUAUUACUUAGAACACCAAUUGCGAAGGCAGGUCACUAAGAUUUAACUGACGCUGAUGGACGAAAGCGUGGGGAGCGAACAGGAUUAGAUACCCGCGUAGUCCCUGUCUCUUAUAC
rnacentral:rRNA from 1 species